rnacentral:lncRNA from 1 species
CUGGUUUCAUGAGGAAUCCGACAGAGGGUCGACCGACAGUGGAGUUCGGAUGGCACCGUGGAGGUUCAUCCACUGGAGGAGUCUCGAGGACACUGGGGAAGGUCGAACAUUGGAGGAGUCUGGGAUUCAAUUCUGUUGUAGAAGUUCGGAUGGAGUCCGACUCUUGUAGGAGUUCGAAAGGAGGCUGCUUAUUGUAGUAGCUCGGACGA